GCGGGGGUCGCAUAGUGGCCAUUGCGGUGGCCUGCUAAGCCACUGGCGCUAAAGCGCCGCGUGGGUUCGAGUCCCACCCCCCGCG
rnacentral:tRNA from 4 species